rnacentral:rRNA from 1 species
AGUGAACGCUGGCGGUAGGCCUAACACAUGCAAGUCGAACGGCAGCACAGUAAGAGCUUGCUCUUACGGGUGGCGAGUGGCGGACGGGUGAGGAAUACAUCGGAAUCUACUUUUUCGUGGGGGAUAACGUAGGGAAACUUACGCUAAUACCGCAUACGACCUACGGGUGAAAGCAGGGGAUCUUCGGACCUUGCGCGAUUGAAUGAGCCGAUGUCGGAUUAGCUAGUUGGCGGGGUAAAGGCCCACCAAGGCGACGAUCCGUAGCUGGUCUGAGAGGAUGAAUAGCCACAAUGGAAAUGGAACAACGUCCCGAAUCCUACGGGAGGCAGCAGUGGGGAAUAUUGGACAAAGGGCGCAAGCCUGAUCCAGCCAUACCGCGUGGGUGAAGAAGGCCUUCGGGUUGUAAAGCCCUUUUGUUGGGAAAGAAAAGCAGCAGGUUAAUACCCCGCUGUUCUGACGGUACCCAAAGAAUAAGCACCGGCUAACUUCGUG